UCUACGGAGAGUUUGAUUCUGGCUCAGAACGAACGCUGGCGGCGUGGAUAAGACAUGCAAGUCGAACGGGAUUUUAUUGGUAGUAAUACUAGUAAAAUUUAGUGGCGAACGGGUGCGUAACACGUGAGUAAUCUGCCGAGAAGUGGGGGAUAGCUCGCCGAAAGGCGAAUUAAUACCGCAUAUGACUAGUAGGGACAUCUCUACGACGUCAAAGCCGCAAGGCGCUUCUUGAUGAGCUCGCGGCCUAUCAGCUAGUUGGUGAGGUAAUGGCUCACCAAGGCUAUGACGGGUAGCUGGUCUUAUGAGGAUGAUCAGCCACAUGGGCACUGAGACACGGGCCCAACUCCUACGGGAGGCAGCAGUAGGGAAUAUUGCGCAAUGGGGGAAACCCUGACGCAGCGACGCCGCGUGCGGGAUGAAGGCCUUCGGGUCGUAAACCGCUUUUGUAGGGGACGAAUUUUGACGGUACUCUACGAAUAAGAGGUUGCUAACUCUGUAGAGUCCAAAAAUGGACUUCGGUGCAGAGUGACUGUGGUAACAUAGUCAAAGAAAAUCUCGCUAUAUGCUGGAAACUCUUUACAUCGGCCGCUCUAAGAUCUCCUUU
rnacentral:ncRNA from 1 species